UACGUAGGGUGCAAGCGUUGUCCGGAAUUAUUGGGCGUAAAGAGCGUGUAGGCGGCCCGAUUAGUCCGCUGUGAAAGUCCAGGGCUCAACCCUGGAAUGCCGGUGGAUACUGUCGGGCUAGAGUCCGGAAGGGGCGAGUGGAAUUCCUGGUGUAGCGGUGAAAUGCGUAGAUAUCAGGAGGAACACCAAUGGCGAAGGCAGCUCGCUGGGACGUGACUGACGCUGAGACGCGAAAGCGUGGGGAGCAAACAGG
rnacentral:rRNA from 1 species